GAUGCAAUGGAGUCGCAAAAAUCUGCAGAAAUCUAAAUUGUCGUAUCAGUGCGAGAGCGUGAACAGGCAGCCGUAGAACACAGGGGCGAUAUGUAACGCAACUGCGUUCCGCUCGCUUAUUUUGGACAAAUUCCGGAAAAUGGUAACAUCCGGAUACGUAGGAUACCCGUGCUGCUAUGGGGUCAAUCACUUUUUCCUACGGGUGUGAGCAGGCGAAAGCGGCAGUCGAACCCUGGACAAAAACUUUGUAGCAGUCCGACACACGUGGCGCCCCUGUGGUACACGUGCUGCGCGUUACAGAUAACUACGACGUUGAUACGUGUAUGUACGAGCCGUCUGCUUACAAAGACCUUUCCAACUUUAAAAGUGAUAUUUCCUUCCUCUUACAGAUGCAUGCCGAUUCGAACUCAAUCUAAACAUAUGUCUGCAUUGCCAGAUGACAGAAGCUGUUCAUUUGGUCCACAAACCAAGCUCCGAUAUCCAAAUUUCCACUCCAGAUGCACACAGUUUUAUCCGUCUGACCAAUUAUGGAUAUGUUUAUCAACCGGUGCCAGGACUGCCUCGCACACUUAACGUUCCAAGUGAAAGCUUGCAAUGAUGCUCGAGUAUCACUUUACAACACUUCUGAAGACCCUUACGCAUACAAAAUUGUUCUAGGUGGUUGGAAAAAUGUCAUGUCUGGAUUACUAAAAUGGAUGGACCCUUCAUAGUUUAUAAUAAUGAGAGCAGCAUGAUGGCAUGUGACGCCUACAAGACAUUCUGGGUAUCGUGGCAGAAUAAUGUUAUAUCGGCGGGUCGUGGCAACUUAUUCAAUGUUGACACGUUAUUGUCAUUAACAGAUCAACACCCAAACCAAAUACGAUAUGUUGGAAUCUCGACAGGAUUCGGUUCCUCGGGUGAAUGGAAAAUACCAAAUGAACGUCCACCAUUGUACUGCUAUCAACGUGCUCACUGGUCUGUAAAACAUGGACUUCAGAACACAAACAUGACAGCCAACAUUCACGUGGUUGGUGACAGCUGAUAAUCUCGGACAGUUCGCUGUGUCCUGUAAACGGAGUAAUUCGUGCGUGUCCUUUGUAUACAACAACGAGAAAGAGACAUGCCAAGGUCACGCACUAAAGUUUCAAAGUAUCACCGAAGGUCAAGGUCACACUGCUAAAGGAAGUCAAUACUUCACUAAGCUGUAGAUUUUGUUAUAGAAAUAGCUUGUAAAGAUCUGAAACAGUGUUUUAAAUGAACGCGGACUAGUUCUCUAAAUAACAUAUAGUCUCCUCACAUUCCAAAUUUUGUGUGCAGUUUAAGGUUGUCAACGAAAACAGUUCAAUACUUAUAUUCCUUACUCUAAAUGGAGAAUUUCCUAAAAUGUCAACCUUGACGCAAUGGUAUCGCAUUUUCGGUAUAACUUAAAUGAUCGCGCUGUAUGUCAAUGGGACAUGUUGUGACGUCAUGUGUACACGUGACCGUUCCCGACCAAUUAUACAAUUCCUGGAAAUCCAUGCGAUUCGACCAUAAGGAUUUCAACUUUAAAACAAAAUGUAGGUACAUGAAUUGCCGUGAGUUACAUUGAUCAAUCCAAUGGUAUAUCUAGCAGCACGAAUAGGUUACUACGAAGAAUGCGUAUUAUUAAGUGGUGAAUUUUUUUCUGAUACAUUUAAUCUAGGAACGUCGGCAAAACCGUUCUGCAUAUCACUACACCAAUGGUAAUUAUGUGAGAAUUAUGUGAGAAUUAUAAUCUGAUAUAUUCCUACUUCGUUUGGUGAUGUUAUAUAGUGACAAUGUGGGGCAAAUGUAUAUAUUUAGUCAUCACGAUUUGCUGAAAUUCCCCAUACGUUUAUAGAGGAUUGUGUUUAUAACAAACUUUUUUUUUUUCAAAUACCAAUAUAAAAUCAUGAUUUAGUGUAUUCAUAAAAAACAAUGAAAUACUGUUUUAAUUACCAUAAGUAAAGUGCAAUAAAAACGCCAUAGUGAGCAUUAUAAUUCAGCUUAUAAGAGUAAAGCUAAACAUACUAAAGAAUUAAACGCCAAUACGAAAGUUUAGAAUGCCACUCUACAAGGAGGCAGGCAGUAGAGACCGUCCUUAUAUUGAUAAUGUAAAACCUAAAUCAAGAGAAUGCAUGUGACAAGGAUAUUGGAAGGAAGACAUUUCAUAUAAUUUUCUAUGAUAAUUAUUCUAGUAAGGUUGUGCAGUGAAAUUUAUCCACUAGUUGGAAUAGCGACUAGGUGUAGAAAAAUGACAUCAUUUCAUUUAUGGUAAACUGUUUACAGCAAUGUAAGACUCAAACAUUUUCUCUGAGACUGUACGAGUGUAGGUAUUCAAAGCUACAUAUGGAAUGUCAACUACGGCAGUAUCACUAAUUUUAUGUUGAUAUUCAAUGUUUUCUUUCAUAUUGUAUAUAUAGAGGUUACACAACGAGUGGUUGUUGGAUAUGGAAUUUAUUUCACACGAGUAAGUUAUUUUUAAAAAGUUACAA